rnacentral:rRNA from 1 species
ACGCGUUAAGUGUGCCGCCUGGGGAGUACGGCCGCAAGGUUAAAACUCAAAGAAAUUGACGGGGGCCCGCACAAGCAGAGGAGCAUGUGGCUUAAUUCGAUGCAACGCGAAGAACCUUACCCAGGUUUGACAUGUGACUGCACGGCCUAUGAAAGUAGGCCUCCUUCGAGGGUGUCACACAGGUGCUGCAUGGCUGUCGUCAGUUCGUGCCGUGAGGUGUUUGGUUAAGUCCAGCAACGAACGCAACCCUUGUGUCCAGUUGCCAGCGCGUAAUGGCGGGAACUCUGGACAGACUGCCCGUUCACACGGGAGGAAGGUGGGGAUGACGUCAAGUCAGUAUGGCCCUUACAUCUGGGGCUGCACACGUGCUACAAUGGCAGGUACAGAAGGAAGCGAGACCGCAAGGUGGAGCCAAUCCCCAAAACCUGCCCCAGUUCAGAUUGGGGUCUGCAACCCGACCCCAUGAAGUCGGAUUUGCUAGUAACGGCGCAUCAGCUACGGCGCCGUGAAUACGUUCCCGGGCCUUGUACACACCGCCCGUCACAUCAUGAAAGCCGUCUGCACCCGAAGCCAGCGCACCGACCCGCAAGGGGGGGAGCUGUCUAAGGUGUGGGUGGUGAU